rnacentral:rRNA from 1 species
CAUGUCCUUUUGAUUAUAAUUUAAGGUCUAAUCUGCCCAAUGAGGUUUUUGAAUGGCCGCAGUAUUUUGACUGUGCUAAGGUAGCAUAAUCAAUAGUUUUUUAAUUGAAAGCUAGAAUGAAUGAUUGAAUGAGAAAAUAACUGUCUCAAGCUUAAUAUUUUGAAUUUUAUUUUUAAGUUAAAAAGCUUAAAUAAAGUUAAAAGACGAGAAGACCCUAUAGAGUUUGAUAUUAAAUUAUUUAAAAAUAAAUUAUUUGAUUAAUUUUAUAUUUAUUUAAUAUUUGGUUGGGGUGAUUAAAAAAUUAAAUAAACUUUUUUUUAUUUUUUACAUAAAUUAAUGAAUUUAUGAUCCUAAAAUUUAGAUUAUAAGAAUAAAUUACCUUAGGGAUAACAGCGUAAUUUUUUUUAAGAGUUCUUAUCGAAAAAAAAGAUUGCGACCUCGAUGUUGGAUUAAAAUUUUAUUUUGGUGUAGAAGCUAAAAUUAUAGGUCUGUUCGACCUUUAAAAUUUUACAUGAUCUGAGU